rnacentral:rRNA from 1 species
UACGGAGGGUGCAAGCGUUAUCCGGAUUCACUGGGUUUAAAGGGUGCGUAGGCGGCUAUGUAAGUCAGGUAGUGAAAGUUUGCGGCUCAACCGUAAAAUUGCUUUUGAUACUGCAUGGCUAGAAUCAGGAUGAGGUCAGCGGAAUGUGGCAUGUAGCGGUGAAAUGCAUAGAUAUGCCAUAGAACACCAAUUGCGAAGGCAGCUGGCUAGACCUGUAUUGACGCUGAGGCACGAAAGCGUGGGGAGCAAACAGG